rnacentral:rRNA from 1 species
GACGAACGCUGGCGGCGUGCUUAACACAUGCAAGUCGAACGGAAAGGCCCUGCUUUUGUGGGGUGCUCGAGUGGCGAACGGGUGAGUAACACGUGAGUAACCUGCCCUUGACUUUGGGAUAACUUCAGGAAACUGGGGCUAAUACCGGAUAGGAGCUCCUGCUGCAUGGUGGGGGUUGGAAAGUUUCGGCGGUUGGGGAUGGACUCGCGGCUUAUCAGCUUGUUGGUGGGGUAGUGGCUUACCAAGGCUUUGACGGGUAGCCGGCCUGAGAGGGUGACCGGCCACAUUGGGACUGAGAUACGGCCCAGACUCCUACGGGAGGCAGCAGUGGGGAAUAUUGCACAAUGGGCGGAAGCCUGAUGCAGCAACGCCGCGUGCGGGAUGACGGCCUUCGGGUUGUAAACCGCUUUCGCCUGUGACGAAGCGUGAGUGACGGUAAUGGGUAAAGAAGCACCGGCCGACUACGUG